UUAAUAAUUUUUGUUUUUUAGUGUAUCUUCACUAAACUUUUAUGAUUUUUUUCUUAAAAUGCAAUCAGUUAAAUUGUAUAAAUUAAUAGUACAACCAACUAAAGAUCUAGAAAAAAGGGAAAAAUGAUCAAUGAUCAUCAGAUGGUACUCAUAUACUUCAUUAUACAAAUAAAAAAAGAUAUUUAUAAUUAUUAUUUUAAAAUAGUACCAAUUAUUUAACUGUCUGCACUAAUUUUCUAAGACAAUUUUAUUAUUUCUAAAAAAAUGUUAUUAAAACUACAUUUAAUUGUAAUUUAUUAAAAAAAAUUUUUAAAGACAUUAAUUUAUUUUUUUUAUUUAAUAAAUAUUUAAUUCAAUUUAUUAUUAUCAAAACAAAUAUAAGUAAUAGUAAUUUAUCAAAAAUUGAAAGCUGUGAUAAAAAUACUUACCACAUCUCUACAAUAAGUCUGUUUUACAAUAGGGCCACCAGACAUUGGUUGAUCUACUGACAAUACACUUCUAAGAAGAGGCAAAGCAUCAAAAAUUCGGCCUAAAUCACACAAUGCUACCA